GGAAUUUUGGGCAAUGGGGGCAACCCUGACCCAGCAACACCGCGUGUAGGAAGAAGGUCUUCGGAUCGUAAACUACUGUCUGAAGGGACGAAGCAGUGACGGUACCUUCAGAGGACGCCCCGGCUAACUCCGUGCCAGCAGCCGCGGUAAUACGGGGGGGGCGAGCGUUGUUCGGAAUUACUGGGCGUAAAGGGCGCGCAGGCGGCGCAAGAAGUCAUGGGUGAAAGCCCCCGGCUCAACCGGGGAAGGUCCUGUGAAACCAUUGAGCUGGAGUGCUGGAGAGGGAAGCGGAAUUCCCAGUGUAGCGGUGAAAUGCGUAGAUAUUGGGAGGAACACCAGAGGCGAAGGCGGCUUCCUGGACAGACACUGACGCUGAGGCGCGAAAGCCAGGGGAGCAAAC
rnacentral:rRNA from 1 species